UACAAGAAGAAGAGGAAGACGGUCAAUAACAAGCAAAUAACUCAAUCGAGUUCUCAGCCGCCUCUACAGCCGCAGCCACAACAGCAUCAGCAUGGUCAGUCUAUUAUGUCUAAUUAUAAUUAAUUACCACGGUCAACUAGAUGAUAUUGUACAACUGUUUUUGCAGCUAUAUAUGUGAGCAACUGUCAAUGCAUUUUGCUAUCCAUCUACUCUCUCUAUAAAAGAAAAGAAGAAAAACACAAAAAGACAAUAACAAAAAUUAAGAAAAGGAAAGAAAUUCAACUUUGAUCUCUUCCACUUAUAUCUCUCAGCUUCAAAGGUCUCUCUCUUCCUUUUUUUGCAGGUUUUUCCACUUUGUCUCACUAUUUCUGCACAACACCAUCACCAAAUCCAUCUUUUUUUUGUAGCACCUACCUCAAUAGUACCAGGAAGUAUUUAAGUCCUCUAUCUAUCUCUUCUUGUAAUUAAUGAGCCAAGAAGUUACAUCCAUCCACUUCUAAGUCUCAAGACUAAACCUAAUUUUUUUCAUCUUUUUAUGAGGUACUAAAAGCCUAAUUUCUUCUGGCCUAAAGCUUUCAAAAUCAAGAAAAAGAACCCUAAUCUCUCCAACCCUACUUUGGAUCAUAUCUUUUUUAAGUUAUGGAUCUGAUCUCUCAAGAGCACAAUAUCAAGAACCCUAAUACCACUCUCACAACACAGCCUUCUUCUUCUUCUUCUUCUCCACCAUCCUCUAGCCGCUACGAGAACCAGAAACGCCGUGAUUGGAACACUUUCUGCCAAUACCUUAGAAACCAUCGUCCACCGCUCUCGCCACCGUCUUGCAGCGGCGAACACGUCCUAGAGUUUCUGCGUUACCUUGACCAGUUCGGAAAAACCAAAGUCCACCACCAAAACUGCUCUUUCUUUGGCCUCCUAAAUCCUCCGGCUCCUUGUCCUUGUCCUCUCCGGCAAGCUUGGGGUUCACUUGACGCCCUUAUCGGUCGUCUCCGUGCCGCCUACGAGGAGAACGGUGGAGUUCCAGAGACUAGCCCUUUUGGCUCACGUUCAGUCAGGAUUUUUCUCAGGGAGGUUAGAGAGUUCCAGGCUAAAUCUCGUGGCGUUAGCUACAAGAAGAAGAGGAAGACGGUCAAUAACAAGCAAAUAACUCAAUCGAGUUCUCAGCCGCCUCUACAGCCGCAGCCACAACAGCAUCAGCAUGUCUAUUAUGUCUAAUUAUAAUUAAUUACCACGGUCAACUAGAUGAUAUUGUACAACUUUCGAUAAAUGUACGUUCGUAUCUAUCUAUUUAUACGUACCAUUCCCUUGUAUUUGUGUAAUGUAAUAUCCCUACUUUACUCCAUCCACCGCUAUUGUUUCUUGAACUAGUGUUUUGUCUU
rnacentral:lncRNA from 1 species